ensembl:lncRNA
AGGAGUCCGAGGACGAGGACGACGAGGACGAGGACGACGAGGAGGAGGAGGAGGAGGAGGAGGAGGACGCAGGAGAACGGCGACUCCUCCGAGGACGGUGGGGACUCCUCGGAGUCCAGCAGCGAGGAGGAGAGCGAGGACGGGAUGAGAACGAGGAGGACGAGGACGACGAGGACGACGACGAGGACGACGACGAGGACGAGGAUAACGAGUCCGAGGGCAGCAGCUCCAGCUCCUCGUCCUCGGGGGACUCCUCGGACUCGGACUCCAACUGAGGGCGUGGCCGCCCGCCCGGCCCCCGCAGUGUCUUGCCCCCACCCCCGCCUCCCCACUUUCUUUCUUUCUUUUUCUUUUUUAAACGAAACGUGGUGGGGGCGGGGGCGGGCCAGACUCCCGGGCCCGGAGCCACUGCCGGGUCCCCCGGGACAGCAGCCAUCAGACUGAGCCAGACGGGAUGCCGGCCACCACCCGCCCCGCACUUGCGGUUUGGGCCCGGACAGUGGACUGGGUGGGCUGGGGUCCGAGAUCGGAGGCGGGUGGCCAGAGGAGUUGCCCUGCCAGAGGGGCUGCUGCCCACCGGACCCUGCAUUGGACCUGGAGGCGGGGAGCGGGGGCGGGCGGUGCGCGGAGCCCCAGCACUGCCUCUGCCCUAGCCCUGCCCCACAGGGAGGGCCAGAAGUGUUUUUAUAUAUGUGUAUAUAUUUUUUUUUAAGCUUUGAGCUGUCAACGAGACGCUUCCUACCGAUUCCGCUGCCGUCUCUGUUGUCAUUUCUGGGAGAGGGAGGGCUUAGGGGGUAGGUCGGGGACUUUUAAAAAGUGGUCCUGGUGUGCGUGGGAGAGUGUGUGUGUGCGUGUGUGUCCUGUACAUAGCGUGGGUGCACCUGUGGCUGCACAUGGGUCUAUUCUGGAGCCCGUGGUGCCAUGGGCAGAAGAGGGGUUGGUGACAUCCGGGCACGGGCCCUGGGGGACUGACCGGCUGCGGCUGCCCCCCGUGGCCUCCUCGCCGGGCGCUGGCUCCAAGGCCACUCCAGUGCAUCCUGCAGCCGGUUGGUCCCCUCCUCCAGGGUUGUGCGUGUCAGCUCCUGCAGGUCCCUGCCAGCCAACAGCAAGGUGGGAAGGGCGAGCCUGGCGUGGACCUGGAAGCCACCCCCUGCGCCUUGAGGGGCCAGCAAGGCUGCAGGACGUUCCCGUCACUGCCACGUGUGUCCCCCCGCCUGGCCUGUGUCCCCCGCCUGGCCUGUUUCCUUUGAUUUCUCAGAAAUUCUUACAGUACAGACAGGACCGUGGGGAAGCGGGCAUUGGUGCUGUAAGAGCUCGCUGAGUGCAUUUUGGCACUGGGGUGGGAGGGCCCCCUGCCCCCUUUUUUUCUAAUAUUUAAGGUGUGUUUUGUAGGUUUCCACAACAGCCACCUUGACUUUGUACCAUGGGAGGCGGGAGGGAGUGGCCCAGGGUCUGCCUAAGCUGACGGCCGGCUGUGGACAUUUUGUUUUCCCCUUUUUUGUACAAUAAAGUGAAAAAUGAAGAUUUGACUGCUGUUUGGUCACUGGCUAAAUGAAAGUGGGUGGCGGAGUGACAGGUUUGAUACAGAAAGACUUGUGCUGGCACAUGCCUGUAGUCAGGAGGCUGAGACAGAAGGACCAAAAGUUCAAGGCCAUGCCGGGAAUGUAGCUCAGUGUCACCGCACCUGCCUCAACCGCAAGGCCGAGUUCAGUCC